UAUUCGCGUCCGGCGUGGACAAGGACAGUGUCGUUCUCAAGAGAGGCCGCCGGAGGGCGCGAGAGGCCGCGCAGGGAAGAGGCUAGCUCAGCUGGCGCGCGGAGGUUGGACUUCCUAGGGAGGAAUUGAGGGACCUGAUGGUCCGGUUUCGAUGGCAACUCCGGGGUUUCCCUUUCCUUUUCGCCGCCUCCGCGCCGCGCGAGACCCUAUCUGGAGGCGCACGUUCCUGGCCCCAUUAGGCCUCGUUCCCAGGUUGCGGGACUGCGGGCCCUCCGCCCACCUUCCUUCCCCACAGCCCGAAGGCGGCCCUCGGCGCCACACGUGGCCCCGGCCCUGAGGGAGCUGGGGACGCUGCCGAAGGAGAGCGCGCAGUCCUGCGGCUUCCUCACGCAGGGGUGUCGCAACCACUGCCGCUUCCUAACCGCCCCUGUUCUCCGGGAAUUGGGGACGCAGUCAGGAAAGGGUGGGAAGUGGUCGCGAAGCCCUCCCCACCCCCACACCCCGGCCGACUCCUGCUCUGCGGCGGCGGUUUCGAGGUCACGCUCCCGAAGCAGCCCACCCGGCCCGGCAGACGAGGGUUCUUUCAUUGGCUUACGAAAGGGAGAUUAGAAGACUUGCUUUCUCAAUCUUCCAACAGCUAAAGAUGCUGAAAAAUACGACAUUGAACUUAGUAUCAGAGGAUUCUCUGACUCAGGUUCCAUCUUGCAAAGCUAGAAGUUGAUAACAGAGCUCAGGUCAUGAUCUCAGGA